AUUGAACGCUGGCGGCAUGCCUAACACAUGCAAGUCGAACGGUAACGACGGGAGCUUGCUCCCGGGCGACGAGUGGCGGACGGGUGAGUAAUACUUAGGAAUCUGCCCAGUAGUGGGGGACAACUCGAGGAAACUCGAGCUAAUACCGCAUACGCCCUACGGGGGAAAGCGGGGGAUCUUCGGACCUCGCGCUAUUGGAUGAGCCUAAGUCGGAUUAGCUUGUAGGUAGGGUAACGGCCUACCUAGGCGACGAUCCGUAGCUGGUCUGAGAGGACGAUCAGCCACACUGGGACUGAGACACGGCCCAGACUCCUACGGGAGGCAGCAGUGGGGAAUAUUGGACAAUGGGCGCAAGCCUGAUCCAGCCAUGCCGCGUGAGUGAAGAAGGCCCUAGGGUUGUAAAGCUCUUUCAGCGGGGAAGAUGAUGACGGUACCCGCAGAAGAAGCCCCGGCUAACUCCGUG
rnacentral:rRNA from 1 species